CUAUUCCAGAAAUUUGCGAUUUACAAACCAAGCUUUCCAAAAGCCGUGAGGAGCGAGAAGAUUUCUGGUUCCUGUAUUCAUUGAGUCAGUUGAGUUAAUCGAUAUCAGACCUACUGAGCUAUCAGGCUAAAGCUUAAAAAAGAACUGCUGUCACUGCAAUCCAAGUAGAUUGGUGUCUCUGACUCUGAAUCAAGCAAUAUAUCUUUGAGGCAUUUGGUGGUUGAGUUCUUGGGUAUAUCUGCUACGCAACUCCUUAAUUCAGUAAUAGCUACCUGAUUUUUCUCUAUGAACUCGUCGGAUGUGAUAAUCGUCUUUUCUUCCUCGUUCUUAGCAUCAUUUUGGGCAUUAAAUGGAUGCAUCUUCUCAAACUGCAUUCAUGCUCUAUUAAUUUUGAAAGUCAUACAAACUGAAACAGUAAUCAAGAGAAUUAGGACCUUCCGCUGACUAAACUUAGAGAAAGGUGAGAAAACACAUUUUGUUAUUACCCUCAUCUUGAACAUUACUGCAGUAUGUGUAGCGAUUCUUUUUCUAUUUUCAUUUUGUGACCUUCAUACGGCCUACUCUACAUGAAAUACCCACUUCAAAUAAUGCUCAAGCACUGUGUUUGAGGGAGAAUUCUAGGUAUCAUGCUCUGACAGUUUGUAUUUCGUACUAUCCAAGAGGAUCAGUUAUAGUGUUGUACUUACAUUGGGACAGGUGCACUGCUUGUUUCCAUGUUUACAUAAAUUCGAAGAUCUUGUGCUUCUGGACUUCUUACUCCUGUUAAACAGAAAUACAUUUGGAUGAGAACGAGCUUACCGAAAUUACGAAAAGCGUUAUUCUACAAUUCAGAGGGCUAGGAGCCUAGGACAAUGUGUUGUAAAGUAAGGUAUCAUCUCCAUUUCCAGUUUUAAGUUCCUUUUAAAGCUGAGUUGAUUUCUCAAACUGUCACUCAACUAAUAGUUAUUAUCUUAUAAAGUCACUUUCUUUGUUAAAUUUGGAAUCAAGAAGAAGGGUGAUUUUCUGAGAUAAUAACUAUUAGUUGAGUGACCAUCUGAGAAAUCAACCCUUUAAAGCUUGGACUCAUAAAAUUGCUAGAGACUAAUUAAACUUGGUCAUUAUCACCCAUUCCAUUCCAGUAGGUCUUUAUUGUCUUCACCAGAUAUUAUUUACUUCCACUGAGGUUUAUCUUUCAGUAUUAAGUUCCGCCAUAAAGAAAAAAGAUUGCUAAAUGUAGUGUGCAGUUGAAAUUCAUGCCACUGGGAUACUGGUCAUGUCUCCCUCUCUGUGUUAUACAAAGCAACUUACUACUUCAAUAUAUCUACUGCUUAUCUAAGAAACUUACGUUAUCUGUUGUAAUUCAUGGUGAGUGGAAGAUAUGCUGCUGGCCUCAUCUCCAGAAGACAUAAUCUGAUAAUACAUAAGCCAAGCUUUGUAUCUCCUCGCCAUCUUUACCAUCACAGCAUAGACCUCAUUCUCGGAUGUAAAUUCUUUUGAAUGUGGUUUGUGGUCAAAGCACAAGACGGAUAAUCGUCUGCAGAGGUCUGUAGCAAUUUCAGUGUGAAGAAGCCUAGGAGAAACCACAAGAGCUUGAAGAAAAUGCAUUGCAACCUGCCACUCAUCCCCUUGGAGCUUUCUAACAACGGAUAGCCUUGAGGUUCUCUCUUCACUCCAUUUUGCUGCUUGAAGUGCUGCUUCUAUACUCUCUAUCCCCCAAUAAAGAUUCGACAAUAUUGACUGCUCCGAGAACUCGAGAUACCCUCUAUUACUACAAACAUCAAACUUGGAACUGCAUUUCAGUUUCAAGCAUUUCCAAGAUUUUGUAUCUGCAAGCAAUGCAGUUAUGUGCUGAUUGAUAACAGCGACGACUGCACGUACCGACUCAAGGUCUAGUUUAUCAUCUUCAUAUGAAAAUACAGGAGGAGGGGUAGUAGCAGAAGAAGAAGAUACAGAAGCCAUUGAAUUAGUAUGUGACAUUUUGGCCUCAUGAAGAAGUACAAGAACAAGGAGCAAAUUAAAAUAACUGUUACAGAUGAGUAAUAGAGUGGCUUUUUAUGUAUUCUUUGCUCAUGAUUGUUGCCAACUUCUGAUUCUUGAGGGACCCUCUUUUUCUUCUGAAAAAAUAUGCUACAGACAAAGAUAUGGCCAUUAAAGGAGGGAAAGUCUUACAGAAAUAAAGGACAGAUGUUUGAGGUUGUUAUUGUCUUUACAGAGUAAUAAUGAACUAGGCAAUAAUGUCCAUUGUUUGCCGGGAGCCCUUUUUGCUUAGUUUGAGACUUGUAUAGCAAUGUAAUUAAGGUUAAAUCUGUAAGAGAACAAUGAAAUGUACAACUACAUGAAUUGAAUGGAACAGAUACAGAUAACUCAUAAAUCA